GUGGGGAAUAUUGGACAAUGGGCGAAAGCCUGAUCCAGCCAUGCCGCGUGUGUGAAGAAGGUCUUCGGAUUGUAAAGCACUUUAAGUUGGGAGGAAGGGCAGUAAGUUAAUACCUUGCUGUUUUGAUGUUACCGACAGAAUAAGCACCGGCUAACUUCGUGCCAGCAGCCGCGGUAAUACGAAGGGUGCAAGCGUUAAUCGGAAUUACUGGGCGUAAAGCGCGCGUAGGUGGUUUUGUAAGUUGGAGGUGAAAUCCCCGGGCUCAACCUGGGAACUGCCUCCAAAACUGCAUGACUAGAGUACGGUAGAGGGUAGUGGAAUUUCCUGUGUAGCGGUGAAAUGCGUAGAUAUAGGAAGGAACACCAGUGGCGAAGGCGACUACCUGGACUGAUACUGACACUGAGGUGCGAAAGCGUGGGGAGCAAACAGGAUUAGAUACCCGAGUAGUCC
rnacentral:rRNA from 1 species